rnacentral:lncRNA from 1 species
CACUUUAUUGAAAGCAAAGCAAGAUUUAGCAUCUUUGCCUUCGUUGUACACAGCUGAAGCGGAAGCCCAGGGAGAUGAGGACUGCAUGGUUUUCCUUGGCGUGGGAGGUGUGCACCCUUCAGUCCUCUCAUUUGUGGGAAGAUCAGCCCAUGCUCUGUUGGCUGCCAUAGUCCCUAGGAUGGAUGCCCUUCCAGUCAUCCCACUCCCGAACUCUGUAGAGUGUUUGUUCAUCAUCCUCUUCCUCCUUUUCUUCUUGACCUUCCUGUUGCUGAGCUGCUUUUCUGAAUUCCUCUGGUGUUGCCUUGGCUAUUCCCUGAUCUGGUAAUGCUCCAUAUUUCCAAUGUUGCUUAUACCAGUCACUCACCGUCAUAGUUGCCAGACUUGGAUAACCAGCUCCAAAUACUUUGACUUGGGCCAUGUUCCGAGUGAGAAUGAAGGGUUUCACUGGAGGCCUCUCCUGGCGAGAUGAAUUAGAAGUUGAUGCCUCUCUUGAAGAGUCUCUUUCUCUCAGGAUCUUUAUUUCCUGGUCAAUGCUCUCAAUCUCUUCUAAGCUGAUAUCAGUUCACCUCUGAAGGUGAAGAAGAUAAUAUUCACGAACACGCUCAUCAUCUGCUUGACCAGUUUCCACAGCAGAUUUGAUUGCAGACAACCUGUGCUCCAACUCCUUCUGCUUGUCUGAACAAGUCAAGCUGCGAUAACAUUUCGGCAGCCUUCUCAAGGAGGUCCAGGCCCUUGAACACCUUCUUCUGGACUAUCCGGGAACCGGCAGGUUCAGUCACUACUUCUACAUCAUCCAGAAGCUGUUUGCUGGUUUCAAACAGCUCGGGGAGCUGUGGCAGCAGUAAUUUGUCUUCAGCAGCC